rnacentral:tRNA from 2 species
GGACCGGUCGUCUAACGGUUAGGAUGCGCGCCUCUCAAGCGCGCGAUGGGAGUUCAAUUCUCCCCCGGUUCA